GACAGAGGGGGCGAGCGUUAAUCGGAAUUACUGGGCGUAAAGCGCGCGUAGGCGGCUUUGCAAGUCGGGUGUGAAAUCCCCAGGCUUAACCUGGGAACUGCAUUCGAGACUGCAUUGCUAGAGUAUGGGAGAGGGAAGUGGAAUUUCCGGUGUAGCGGUGAAAUGCGUAGAUAUCGGAAGGAACAUCAGUGGCGAAAGCGACUUCCUGGACCAAUACUGACGCUCAUGUGCGAAAGCGUGGGGAGCAAACAGG
rnacentral:rRNA from 1 species